GCGAGCGUGGCGGAACUGGUAGACGCGCUGGGUUUAGGUUCCAGUGGAGUAAUCUGUGGGGGUUCGAGUCCCUCCGCUCGCACCA
rnacentral:tRNA from 1 species